rnacentral:ribozyme from 1 species
UUCGGUCACCACCAUCUUAACCGAUCUCUUUCCUCAUCUCGAUAAAUGGAGAGUCAUCGCCUCCAAUAACAGCAAUAUGGCGUAUUGCACUCAACCAGUGGAUGCGACCAACAUUCAGAUUGAGAA